rnacentral:rRNA from 1 species
UGGGGGAUAUUGCACAAUGGGCGAAAGCCUGAUGCAGCGACGCCGCGUGGGGGAUGAAGGCUUUCGGGUUGUAAACCUCUUUCGCUAUCGAACAAGGCCCGCUUAGGGUGGGUUGAGGGUAGGUGGAGAAGAAGCGCCGGCUAACUACGUGCCAUCAGCCGCGGUAAUACGUAGGGCGCGAGCGUUGUCCGGAAUUAUUGGGCGUAAAGGGCUUGUAGGCGGCUUGUUGCGCCUGCUGUGAAAACGCGGGGCUUAACUUCGCGCGUGCAGUGGGUACGGGCAGGCUUGAGUGUGGUAGGGGUGACUGGAAUUCCAGGUGUAGCGGUGGAAUGCGCAGAUAUCUGGAGGAACACCGAUGGCGAAGGCAGGUCACUGGGCCAUUACUGACGCUGAGGAGCGAAAGCAUGGGUAGCGAACAGG